GAGUAGCUGGAAAUACAGAUGUUAAGCACAUUGCUAAGGAAUGGAAAGCUGCAAGAUAGAAUAUGCCCUUCAUCUGUGUGGUUGCAUAGAAACCAGUCAUUUGUCUAAAUCUUAAAGACCUCAAGUGGAAAAUAUACUUACAAAUUUAAAGGAUCUCACUCUGUCGCCCUGGCUAGAAUGCAA